UACGUAGGGGGCGAGCGUUGUCCGGAGUUACUGGGCGUAAAGGGCAUGCAGGCGGUCCGACACGUUUUGUGUGACAGCGGGUGGCUUAACUACCCGAGGAUACGAAAGACGGUUGGACUUGAGGACUCGAGAGGGACACGGAAUUCCGGGUGGAGUGGUGAAAUGCGUUGAUAUCGACCGGAACUCCGGUGGCGAAGGCGAGGCGCUGGACCCUUUCUGACGCUGAGGCGCGAAAGCCAGGGGAGCAAACGGG
rnacentral:rRNA from 1 species